CGCGACGGCGAUUUCUUCCUGGCUUCUCCCUCCUCCUGGUCCUCUCCUACUUUACUUUAUAGGCCACUGUUAAGAUUACUGAACAAGUAAAAUCAAACUAAUCUUUUAUCUGUACUUUGAAACCAUUCCCUCAGACCUCUUAUUCAUUGACCUCUCCAUCAGUUAGCCUCGUUCUCUAGUUUCCAUCAGUUUUUAGACAUGUUGAGGGGUCUUGUCUUUGUUUACAUUAAAUGACAACAACAGCCUAGACUAACUCCUUGAGGGCAGGAACUUUGCCCUUUACCUUUGACCCCUAGCACGUUUAGCACAAACUAGGAACUUGAUAAGUAUAAGACGGAUGUGUGAAAUACUUCAGGACAAAUUUGUUUCAGGUAUAGCGAGUGAACCAAAACGGAUGGUGCUGGGAUCCCAGACGGGGGUCGCCUUGCUGCUGUGAAGAAGGCAAUGAGAGAGAGGAUGCAGCAGGGAGAGCAGGCUGAGGGCCGAAGGAAGUUGGUCAUAUAACCUUUGACGCUGGAUAUUUUAGAAUCGAAAGUCCCGUUAAAUCGUUCUCAGCCACGCCCGGGGUGCAGUGAUCCCUUCAUGCAGGUGGAGGAGAGGUGACAGGAGCACACCAGACACUCUUCCUUUGGUGGGGGCUUAAUUGCCUUUUCACCUCGAACGCCUCCUAAUGGAAAUCAACCAGAAGAACUGUGAAUUAAAAAAAAGCAAAACAUUGUUUUCGUAAUCUCCAUGCUGCAGUGUAUUCUUUGAAUACUGAAAAGUUAAAGAAUAUGGAUUCAUGUUCAUGUAUAUAGUGUUAUGUAAUGUCUUAAUAGUUAAUAUUUACUAUUAACUAUUUGUGUUUUAGAUAUGAUACUGUUUUUC
rnacentral:lncRNA from 1 species